rnacentral:rRNA from 1 species
CGGAGGGUGCUAAGCGUUGUCCGGAUUUAUUGGGUUAAAGGGUGCGUAGGCGGUUCUUUAAGUCCGGGGUGAAAGCCCGUUGCUCAACAACGGAACUGCCCUGGAAACUGGCGAACUUGAGUACAGACGAGGGUGGCGGAAUGGAUGGUGUAGCGGUGAAAUGCAUAGAUACCAUCCAGAACCCCGAUUGCGAAGGCAGCUGCCUAGACUGUAACUGACGCUGAGGCACGAAAGCGUGGGGAGCGAACAGGAUUAGAUACCCUGGUAGUCCACGCCGUAAACGAUGGAUACUCGCUGCCGGCGAUACAAUGUCGGUGGCUUAGCGAAAGCGUUAAGUAUCCCACCUGGGGAGUACGCCCGCAAGGGUG